rnacentral:rRNA from 1 species
GAUGAACGCUGGCGGCGUGCCUAAUACAUGCAAGUCGAGCGAAUGGAUUAAGAGCUUGCUCUUAUGAAGUUAGCGGCGGACGGGUGAGUAACACGUAGGUAACCUGCCCAUAAGACUGGGAUAACUCCGGGAAACCGGGGCUAAUACCGGAUAAUAUUUUGAACUGCAUGGUUCAAAAUUGAAAGGCGGCUUCGGCUGUCACUUAUGGAUGGACCCGCGUCGCAUUAGCUAGUUGGUGAGGUAACGGCUCACCAAGGCAACGAUGCGUAGCCGACCGGGGAGGGUGAUCGGCCACACUGGGACUGGGACACGGCCCAGACUCCUACGGGAGGCAGCAGUAGGGAAUCUUCCGCAAUGGACGAGAGUCUGACGGAGCAACGCCGCGUGAGUGAUGAAGGCUUUCGGGUCGUAAAACUCUGUUGUUAGGGAAGAACAAGUGCUAGUUGAAUAAGCUGGCACCUUGACGGUACCUAACCAGAAAGCCACGGCUAACUACGUGCCAGCCGCCGCCGUAA